UACAGAGGUCUCAAGCGUGUUCGGAAUUACUGGGCGUAAAGGGCUCGUAGGCGGCCAACUAAGUCAGACGUGAAAUCCCUCGGCUUAACCGGGGAACUGCGUCUGAUACUGGAUGGCUUGAGUUCGGGAGAGGGAUGCAGAAUUCCAGGUGUAGCGGUGAAAUGCGUAGAUAUCAGGAGGAACACCGGUGGCGAAGGCGGGUCUCUGGGCCGAUACUGACGCUGAGGAGCGAAAGCGUGGGGAGCGAACAGG
rnacentral:rRNA from 1 species